UCUAAUUUUACUUGAAAUCCAUCGUUAGUUAAAGAAUACACUGGAAAGACUGCACGUAUACUCCAGUUAGUGCCAAAGAAUCAGUUGUGCGAAGUUGGUCUAGACGUGGAGCAAAAACCGAGUAUUGGCAUUGAUGUUCUUAUACUUGUUUAAUCCUAUAGUGCCAUCACUCCAUAAGCAUUGUCUGUAUAACUAAAAUAUAAUAUCUAGUUAAUCUCUGAUCCUUGCAGGUCCUAGAGGAAAGCAGAGAAACUGCAACUAACCGUCUCAGAAAAACUAAAGUAAUAUCUAGCUAAAGAGUGUUCUCUUUUCUCUGUAAAAUAACCAAAUUUUCAGAAAUAUGGCUUCAGUUGUAAUUCAUCUCAAGGCUACAGCUGAUGAUACAAUGCAAUAAGGCGAAGAGACCUGAAAAGCUUACAGUAAGUCGUAGCCCCAGCAGAAUCUUCCCAGUGUAUUACCGAGGAUGCUUUUCUCUCUCUCUUUAUCUCUCUCUCACCUCUUGCAAAUGCUCAUUUCACUGAGAAUCUCCAUGGAAAUGGAUUGGUCACUAUGAGGCAAAGUAGGCACCCUUACUGUUGAAUUGACGAAGAGAAAGUGGAAAGAAUAGGGAAGCUGAUUCUAUGAGUGAGGGUAACAGUUUGGUUGCAUUUUUGGAAGAAGGGUCUGAUGUUUGAACAAGGUUGAUGCACUCAGUGACUCAGGAAAUGGUUACUGAAAAGAAAUGCACCCCAAGCUUGGGAGUCCUGAGAACCUCUAUUUACUGGGUUCUCAGGCAGGUUGUGGGAUGUCGUUCUUUCCCUUUGUUACCUUCGGAUCCAUUUUGGAUUGUGCAUGAUUGACACGUCUCCCGUGAAAGUAAAAGCACAAUUGUGAGUAUUACUUUAUAGCUCUUAUCUUGCCGAUCUAUUUGCAAUGACGAAGGACCAUGAGAUUAUGUUUAUGCUGAAUCUGGUGGACUUGGUAUCGCAACGAACUAUGUUGCUGAAGUUCUGGCUGCUAUUAAAGCCCUUGAACGGGCUAUGCAAAAUGGUAUGCGCAAACUCUUAAUUCAAUCAGAUUCUACUGCUAUCAUUUCUAUGUUCAGCUCCUGAAAGAUCCUUUGAUACAUUCAAGCAAGAUGGACUUGGAUUAUCAAUCACAUUCAGUCUCUCCAUUUUAGGCAUGCAAGCAGAGAAACUAACUUAUCAGCAGAUUUUUUUGCUAAUUUUGAAGGAACUUAUCUUGGUAGAGGUCAACUCAGGCAAUAUCAUGCUUAGCCUGAUGCUUUGAAUCGUCAUGAAUGGCCAUAUGCUUCCUCCUGUAGGAAUCAUAUGAUUUCUUUGCUUGGUGUAUUUUCUUCUGUUUCUCUUUUUUUCUUCUUUUAUGCUUGGACUUUGUAUUUUGGGCCUUGGCAUUUUUCUUGGGUUUUCUCUAGUGGGCUUUUUAGUCCUGGCAUUGUCCUGGCAUUUUGGGCUAAAUUGUUGGAAUCUCUCGGCUGAAUUGAUUAAUGACUAAACGAUCUCCAA